GCGAAUAUAGCUCAAUCGGUAGAGUGUCAGAUUGUGAGUUUGAAAGUUAUGGGUUCAAUCCCCAUUAUUCGCC
rfam:Saprolegnia parasitica CBS 223.65 mitochondrial scaffold supercont2.1443, whole genome shotgun sequence.